rnacentral:rRNA from 1 species
GACGAACGCUGGCGGCGUGCUUAACACAUGCAAGUCGAACGGAAAGGCCCCUUUGGGGGUACUCGAGUGGCGAACGGGUGAGUAACACGUGAGUAACCUGCCCUUGACUUCGGGAUAACUUCAGGAAACUGGGGCUAAUACCGGAUAGGAAUCCUUGCUGCAUGGUGGGGGUUGGAAAGCUUCGGCGGUUUUGGAUGGACUCGCGGCUUAUCAGCUUGUUGGUGGGGUAGUGGCUUACCAAGGCUUUGACGGGUAGCCGGCCUGAGAGGGCGACCGGCCACAUUGGGACUGAGAUACGGCCCAGACUCCUACGGGAGGCAGCAGUGGGGAAUAUUGCACAAUGGGCGGAAGCCUGAUGCAGCAACGCCGCGUGCGGGAUGACGGCCUUCGGGUUGUAAACCGCUUUCAGCAGGGGCGAAGCUUGUGGUGACGGUACCUGCAGAAGAAGCACCGGCUAACUACGUGC